AUGUGCUGCUGUUGCGGCGGCGGCGACCGCGAGCACGAGCACGGCUGUCGGCCGCUCGGGUUCCUGCUCGGCCUGCCCUUCGCGCUCCUCGCCGUCCUCGUCUCCAUCGUCGGCGCCAUCAUCUGGAUCAUCGGGCUGCCCAUCUCGUGCAUCUGCCCGUGCUGCCUGUGCGUGACGCUGCUGCUGGAGGCGGCGGUGGAGCUCGUCAAGGCGCCGCUCCACGUCAUGACGUGGUUCACCUCCAAGAUACCCUGCUGA
rnacentral:rRNA from 1 species